rnacentral:tRNA from 1 species
AUUUAUAUAGUUUAAUUAAAAACAUUUUAUUUUCAAUAAAAAAAUAAUAAUAUUAAUA